ACAAAGCGCGGCUGCCACCGCCUGGAGUGGGAGUCCCUCUUGCCGCCCACCCCUUGACUCGUGAGAGCAUAAAAGUUUGUCUCUGCUCAAGCGUUCCGAGCGCCCCAGGUAAAGGUGGAAGUAAUGGCCAAGCUGUAUUGAAGAGGUGGCAAUGGAUUUGCAUCACCGUCAAGAGAAACCCCAGACUUGAUCUGUGGUCAUUGUUAUCUUCUAGUAUGACACUCUGCUUUCCCCUGGAACUCUUCCUGCACAACCUAAGAAGCUUGGCUGUAAUUUGGCCUUUCAUUUUUAUAACAGGCUGCUGUUGAGAAAGGAGCUUUGACAAUAGAAGUAACCACCUAGCAGGUCCAUUUCUACUGUGGAAAGCAGCUGGAAAAUCAUCCCUAUGGAUGAAAAGAGAAGGGAGCACCAAUUGCUGCAAUGAAGUCUGUACCACGGAUUCCAAAGGGAGCUGUGGAGGUUCUUCUCAGAGUCGUCAGUGUGUAAAUUCUGUGCUCCCAAAGUCUUACUACAGUCAUACUAGCCAUCUUGGACUCCAUACACAGAACUUGGCAGUUUUAAACAACUACUUGUGAUUGAAAAAUGACCAACAAAUUUAAGGUCCCAAAGCGCAGUUUUGGUACCAAAAAAGCCGCUGUCUCUCCCACUUGCCCCUCUCUUCCCGCGCUCCGCACCUGGAUG